rnacentral:tRNA from 1 species
GCAUCCUUAGCUCAAUUGGAUAGAGUAGCGGACUUCGAAUCCGUUGGUUGGAGGUUCGAACCCUCUAGGGUGCACCA